GAGAGGCAUACUCUGUAUAGAAAUGAAUAUAAAUGGGGAAUUUGCCUGAUAAUAUGAUUGUGUUGCAAACCAGUAGGUCAACUCUCCACAACCUGACACAUACCAGAUUUGUGGGGACUGAGUUCAGUUUUGGGAGUUAUAGUUCUAGCACAUCUACAUAUGUCAGAUUGGGGAAGGAAGCAGGAAAUUAUUUUUCCAACCUCAACUUCUAUGUUCAAGCUUUCUCUUUAGCAUGUGCAAUUUCUGUUACAUUUGCACAUGAGAGCAAUUUUAAAUCAUCCCAUGUAAAACUGUAGUGAAUAAAACUAUUACAAACUAA